rnacentral:misc_RNA from 1 species
UCUGAAGAGUGGAUGGGGAAUCCAUGUGGUUCAGGAGGUUAAAUUCUUGGCCAAGAAAGAGGAUAGGCUGGCAUUGGACGGAGCUAUCGAUGAGCUCGUUCAACUCGGCAUGCAGAGAGAAACAGCGGCGGAGUCGAUUUACAAAGAAAGAUGUAUUCCGAUUAACGACGGUGCGAGUUGGGCGAAAUACAUGUCAAUUUCCGG